UCUUGUACACGCAUAGUUAAUUCCCCUUUCUGAACAUCUAUGGAAGUCCUGCCCGUGGCCAAGAAUGGUCUUCCUAGUAUGAUCGGUAUAUUCUUGUCCUCUUCGAAAUCUAAAAUGAUAAAAUCAGCCGAAAAGAUGAACUUAUCCACUUUAACCAAUACAUCUUCAACAAUUCCCCGUGGAUAUACGACGGACCGGUCUGCUAACUAUAAUGAUAUGUUCGUUGGUUGUGG
rnacentral:lncRNA from 1 species